rnacentral:sRNA from 1 species
GUAAUCUCAGCACUUUGGGAGGCUGAGGUGGGUGGAUCACUUGAGGUCAGGAGUUUGAGACCAGCCUGGCCAACAUAGUGAAAUCCUGUCUCUACUAAAAAUACAAAAAUCAGCCAGGCUAAGGAACAGGAAGGAGAGGAGGUGAAGGUACAGGAAGGAAGGCUCCUGGGAACUAUAGCCUGGUCAAGGGACAAGAUGCACCCCCUCUGCGGCCAGAGGAAGGGGUGCAGCCACGUCUGUAAGAGCAGCAGGACAAACCCAUGCGACAGCCUGUCUCAAGGCCAAUCCUAGCCCAGCGUGGCGCAGUAGUGGGUCAGGGGGGGCACGGGAACAGAGCGACCCGACAGCCUGGGAAACGGACAGCCGUGUCAGAAGGGCAGGUGCCAGUGGGCAGGAGGCCGGAGAGAAAGCCGCAGCUUACUUUCACCUCGCGCCGGGCCCGCGGCCGUGCACGGGGACCGCUCCGGGUUCCUCCCGGCGAGAACCCCCCGCCCCAGAACUUUGGUCUCGU